rnacentral:rRNA from 1 species
CCAGACCGCCAGCUAAGGUCCCAAAGUCAUGGUUAAGUGGGAAACGAUGUGGGAAGGCCCAGACAGCCAGGAUGUUGGCUUAGAAGCAGCCAUCAUUUAAAGAAAGCGUAAUAGCUCACUGGUCGAGUCGGCCUGCGCGGAAGAUGUAACGGGGCUAAACCAUGCACCGAAGCUGCGGCAGCGACACUAUGUGUUGUUGGGUAGGGGAGCGUUCUGUAAGCCUGUGAAGGUGGCCUGUGAGGGUUGCUGGAGGUAUCAGAAGUGCGAAUGCUGACAUAAGUAACGAUAAAGCGGGUGAAAAGCCCGCUCGCCGGAAGACCAAGGGUUCCUGUCCAACGUUAAUCGGGGCAGGGUGAGUCGACCCCUAAGGCGAGGCCGAAAGGCGUAGUCGAUGGGAAACAGGUUAAUAUUCCUGUACUUGGUGUUACUGCGAAGGGGGGACGGAGAAGGCUAUGUUGGCCGGGCGACGGUUGUCCCGGUUUAAGCGUGUAGGCUGGUUUUCCAGGCAAAUCCGGAAAACCAAGGCUGAGGCGUGAUGACGAGGCACUACGGUGCUGAAGCGACAAAUGCCCUGCUUCCAGGAAAAGCCUCUAAGCAUCAGGUAACAUCAAAUCGUACCCCAAACCGACACAGGUGGUCAGGUAGAGAAUACCAAGGCGCUUGAGAGAACUCGGGUGAAGGAACUAGGCAAAAUGGUGCCGUAACUUCGGGAGAAGGCACGCUGAUAUGUAGGUGAAGCGACUUGCUCGUGGAGCUGAAAUCAGUCGAAGAUACCAGCUGGCUGCAACUGUUUAUUAAAAACACAGCACUGUGCAAACACGAAAGUGGACGUAUACGGUGUGACGCCUGCCCGGUGCCGGAAGGUUAAUUGAUGGGGUUAGCGGUAACGCGAAGCUCUUGAUCGAAGCCCCGGUAAACGGCGGCCGUAACUAUAACGGUCCUAAGGUAGCGAAAUUCCUUGUCGGGUAAGUUCCGACCUGCACGAAUGGCGUAAUGAUGGCCAGGCUGUCUCCACCCGAGACUCAGUGAAAUUGAACUCGCUGUGAAGAUGCAGUGUACCCGCGGCAAGACGGAAAGACCCCGUGAACCUUUACUAUAGCUUGACACUGAACAUUGAGCCUUGAUGUGUAGGAUAGGUGGGAGGCUUUGAAGUGUGGACGCCAGUCUGCAUGGAGCCGACCUUGAAAUACCACCCUUUAAUGUUUGAUGUUCUAACGUUGGCCCGUAAUCCGGGUUGCGGACAGUGUCUGGUGGGUAGUUUGACUGGGGCGGUCUCCUCCUAAAGAGUAACGGAGGAGCACGAAGGUUGGCUAAUCCUGGUCGGACAUCAGGAGGUUAGUGCAAUGGCAUAAGCCAGCUUGACUGCGAGCGUGACGGCGCGAGCAGGUGCGAAAGCAGGUCAUAGUGAUCCGGUGGUUCUGAAUGGAAGGGCCAUCGCUCAACGGAUAAAAGGUACUCCGGGGAUAACAGGCUGAUACCGCCCAAGAGUUCAUAUCGACGGCGGUGUUUGGCACCUCGAUGUCGGCUCAUCACAUCCUGGGGCUGAAGUAGGUCCCAAGGGUAUGGCUGUUCGCCAUUUAAAGUGGUACGCGAGCUGGGUUUAGAACGUCGUGAGACAGUUCGGUCCCUAUCUGCCGUGGGCGCUGGAGAACUGAGGGGGGCUGCUCCUAGUACGAGAGGACCGGAGUGGACGCAUCACUGGUGUUCGGGUUGUCAUGCCAAUGGCACUGCCCGGUAGCUAAAUGCGGAAGAGAUAAGUGCUGAAAGCAUCUAAGCACGAAACUUGCCCCGAGAUGAGUUCUCCCUGAGACUUAGAGUCUCCUGAAGGAACGUUGAAGACGACGACGUUGAUAGGCCGGGUGUGUAAGCGCAGCGAUGCGUUGAGCUAACCGGUACUAAUGAACCGUGAGGCUUAACCUU